GUUUAGGGGUGGACCUGACGUCCCUGAGUGUAUGUGGUGAACCUGAAUUUGCCUUGGGUUUCCUCAUACUCAUUCAGGAGCGUCAGUCGCCCCUGCGC
ensembl:miRNA